UACGUACCGUCCAAACGUUAUUCGGAAUUACUGGGCUUAAAGGGUAUGUAGGCGGCGCUGUUAGUCGGGUGUGAAAUCCCACGGCUCAACCGUGGAAUUGCGCCCGAUACUGCAGUGCUUGAGGGAGACAGAGGUAAGCGGAACUGAUGGUGGAGCGGUGAAAUGCGUUGAUAUCAUCAGGAACACCGGUGGCGAAAGCGGCUUACUGGGUCUCUUCUGACGCUGAGAUACGAAAGCCAGGGGAGCGAAGGGG
rnacentral:rRNA from 1 species